rnacentral:miRNA from 1 species
UAGUCCCAACUCCGCCACUAAG